GUUUGGAUAAUCAACCUGAGUUGAAACGGAUCCAACAAAUUCGGACCCAAAGUUUUGGCCCGAUAACUAGGCCGAAUUUGUUCUUUCUCCUCGCGAUUUUCUGGCUUCCAUUGAAAUCGAGCUCUGGUACCAGGCUAGGGUCCCAUAAUGGGUGUGGAACAGCAAAAAGACCAACUGAAAGAGAUGGACUGGAAAACUCUGGGUGGAACAGAGAGUAGUGAGGCUAAUGUUGUACCAGCAGUGAAGAAACGGCUUCCAAAAAGGAUUCGACAAGUGCCUGAGUAUUAUUUUCUUCCACGAAAAUCCUUACCAUACUCCAUCGCCUUUUAUGGGUCAUUUAUUGCUGCAGGUGUUGGUGCAGGAAUGCUACUUGAAGGAUGGAUCAACAAGAAGAUAAAAGAUGAUGAAGGAGUCAUUUGGGAGUUCGACAAAUGAACAAUGAAUUCUUUUCAUGUUUCGAUUGCGACUGCUUUUGGUCCAAGGAGUUCACUGGAGAUGAAUAUCGUAACCAUUACUAGAUGAUGAUAAAUCACUCUUUGGCAUCCAGUUCAAUUUUGUAGGUUGUAUAUUUCAGGAGCAGAGUGCAGAACAGAGAUGUUGAAUUUGGCAGACAGUACUAAAACAUUAGGUCGUAUAUUUGCCUUAAUGGCUUAACCUUUGAAUAAAUAGAGAGGCCCGGCAAGUGGGCCUUCCUAAGAAUUUUGUAUCCUGAUCACUGAAUAGUUUCGAAAACAACAUCUCUACCUCAACCAGGUAGGGGUAAGGUAUUUAUACACUCUACCAUUUCUGGACCCCACAUGUGGGACCAGAAUCGGUAUGUUGUUGAACACUGAAUGAACAGUUAUAGUAGUAUUGGAUGUGGAGCAAUUGAACAUUAA